AUUGAACGCUGGCGGCAGGCCUAACACAUGCAAGUCGAGCGAGCGGCGGACGGGUGAGUGAUGUCUGGGAAACUGCCUGAUGGGGGGGGGUAACUACUGGAAACGGUAGCGAAUACCGCAUACCCUCAGAUGUGCCCAGAGGGGAUUAGCUAGUAGGUGGGGUAACGGCUCACCUAGGCGACGAUCCCCAGCUGGUCUGAGAGGAUGACCAGCGACACUGGAACGGAGACACGGUCCAGACUCCUACGGGAGGAAGCAGUGGGGAAUAUUGAACAAUGGGCGCAAGCCUGAUGCAGCCAUGCCGCGUGUGGGAAGAAGGCCUUGGGGUUGUAAAGCACGUUCAGCGGGGAGGCGUUACCCGCAGAAGAAGCAACGGCUAACUCCGUGCCAGCAGCCGCGGUAAUUC
rnacentral:rRNA from 1 species